rnacentral:rRNA from 1 species
UACGGGAGGUGCAAGCGUUAUUCGGAAUGAUUGGGCGUAAAGCGCACGUAGGUGGGUUCGUAAGUCGGAUGUGAAAUCCCCAGGCUUAACCUGGGAACCGCAUCCGAAACUACAAAUCUUGAAUGUUUCAGGGGCUGGUAGAAUUCCUGGUGUAGGAGUGAAAUCCGUAGAGAUCAGGAGGAAUACCGGAGGCGAAGGCGGCCGGCUGGGAAAACAUUGACACUGAGGUGCGAAAGCGUGGGGAGCAAACAGG